rnacentral:lncRNA from 1 species
UUGGGAAAGUUCUCAGAUGUCAAAAUAGGGGCUCUGCAUAUUAUGAAUUUCACAAUUAACUUCUCAGCAUACUAUACUGGUUAUUUGGUAUUCAUGUUAAGUUAGAUGGUUCUCAUCAUGCUAAACAGUGCUUCAGAUUGCAGUUACUCUAAGCAUAAGACCCUAUGUCCUAGGGUUUGGAACCAACUCCUUCAUUGCUUUGGUGAAUUAGACCCUUUUAAUUGUGAUUGCAGUAGAUUAGAAAGGAGUCCAUCUCCCAAAGAGUAUUCAAGUUUUAGAAUGGAAGCUGCUUUUCAGUCAUCACUGGAAUUUUCCUACGAGAAUCACUUACAUAAUCUACACAACCAAAUGCAGAAAGAAAACACAG